GACGAACGCUGGCGGCGUGCCUAAUACAUGCAAGUAGAACGCUGAAGGAGGAGCUUGCUUCUCUGGAUGAGUUGCGAACGGGUGAGUAACGCGUAGGUAACCUGCCUGGUAGCGGGGGAUAACUAUUGGAAACGAUAGCUAAAACCGCAUAAGAGUAGAUGUUGCAUGACAUUUGCUUAAAAGGUGCAAUUGCAUCACUACCAGAUGGACCUGCGUUGUAUUAGCUAGUUGGUGGGGUGACGGCUCACCAAGGCGACGAUACAUAGCCGACCUGAGAGGGUGAUCGGCCACACUGGGACUGAGACACGGCCCAGACUCCUACGGGAGGCAGCAGUAGGGAAUCUUCGGCAAUGGACGGAAGUCUGACCGAGCAACGCCGCGUGAGUGAAGAAGGUUUUCGGAUCGUAAAGCUCUGUUGUAAGAGAAGAACGAGUGUGAGAGUGGAAAGUUCACACUGUGACGGUAUCUUACCAGAAAGGGACGGCUAACUACGU
rnacentral:rRNA from 1 species